UACUGAGGUCACCGAGCAUACGCUCUAAA
rnacentral:sRNA from 1 species